UUAAGUAAGAAAGGGCGUACGGUGGAUGCCUAGGCACUUGAAACUGAAGAAGGACGCAACAAACGGCGAAACGCGGCGGGGAGCUGUACGUAAGCAAAGAUCCGCCGGUAUCCGAAUGGGGGAACCCGGCAUGCGUAAUAGCAUGUCAUCCGCAGAUGAACAAAUAGUCUGCGAGAGAGGUACCCGGGGAACUGAAACAUCUAAGUACCCGGAGGAAAAGAAAACAACAGUGAUUCCCUGAGUAGCGGCGAGCGAAAGGGGAGGAGCCCAAACCAGACCGAGGUCUGGGGUUGAAGGACCGCGAUACGGCAAGAAUCAUGGUAGGAGAACGGCAUUGAAAGGCCGACCGGAGAGGGUGCAAGUCCCGUAUCCGAAACCGUGAGGAAGCCCAGCGGGAUCCUGAGUACGGCGAGACACGAGAAAUCUUGUCGGAAGCAGGCGGGACCAUCCGUCAAGGCUAAAUAUAAGCAAGUGACCGAUAGUGAACCAGUACCGUGAGGGAAAGGUGAAAAGAACCGCGGGAGCGGAGUGAAAUAGAACCUGAAACCGUAUGCUUACAAGAAGUCAGAGCACGUUAAGGUGUGAUGGCGUGCCUUUUGUAGAAUGAACCGGCGAGUUAUGUUAUCGUGCGAGGUUAAGCAGGAGAUGCGGAGCCGAAGCGAAAGCGAGUCUUAAUAGGGCGGCAGUACGAUGACAUAGACCCGAAACCGUGUGAUCUAGCCAUGACCAGGUUGAAGUUCAGGUGAAACUGAAUGGAGGACCGAACCGACCCCCGUUGAAAAGUUGGCGGAUGAGUUGUGGCUAGGGGAGAAAUUCCAAUCGAACCCGGAUAUAGCUGGUUCUCCCCGAAAUAGCUUUAGGGCUAGCGUCGAGGAUGAGUCUUGUGGAGGUAGAGCACUGAAUGUACGAUGGCCCCAUCCCGGGGUACUGAGUAUAAUCAAACUCCGAAUGCCAUGAGAUAUUCCCGGCAGUCAGACCGUGGGUGAUAAGGUCCAUGGUCAAAAGGGAAACAGCCCAGACCGCCAGUUAAGGUCCCAAAAUGUAUGCUAAGUGGAAAAGGAUGUGGGGAUGCACAGACAACUAGGAGGUUGGCUCAGAAGCAGCCACCCUUCAAAGAGUGCGUAACAGCUCACUAGUCGAGUGACCCUGCGCCGAAAAUGUACCGGGGCUAAGCAUACUACCGAAGCUGCGGAUUUGUAGUAAUACAAGUGGUAGGGGAGCGUUCCAUGCACGUGGAAGCCAUACCGUAAGGAGUGGUGGAGAGCAUGGAAGUGAGAAUGCCGGUGUGAGUAGCGAGAUGCAGGUGAGAAUCCUGCACACCGAUAGCCCAAGGAUUCCAGGGGAAGGUUCGUCCGCCCUGGGUAAGUCGGGACCUAAGGCGAGGCCGAAAGGCGUAGUCGAUGGAAAACAGGCAGAUAUUCCUGUACCCGCGAUGGAAAUGAAGGAAUGACGGAGAAGGCUAGCAUGAGCCACUUAUUGGAUUGUGGUCGAAGCGAAUAGCAGGUGCAUAGUAAAAUGCGUGCACGGAAUGUAAAACGUGAUAGGUAAGCGAAACCUUUGGGGAGUAGCGAAGCAUGCGAGGCCAGCUUCCAGGAAAAGUUUCUAGUGCUGAUUCCAUAGCGGCCCGUACCAAAACCGACACAGGUGGGCAAGGAGAGUAUCCUGAGGUGAGCGAGAGAACUGUUGCCAAGGAACUCGGCAAAAUGACUCCGUAAGUUAGCGAGAAGGAGUGCUUAUGAAAGUAAGCCGCAGUGAAGAGGCCCAAGCGACUGUUUAACUAAAACACAGCUCUCUGCAAAGUCGCAAGACGAAGUAUAGGGGGUGACGCCUGCCCGGUGCUGGAAGGUUAAGAGGAUUUGUCAGUUUCGACGAAGCAAUGAAUUGAAGCCCCAGUGAACGGCGGCCGUAACUAUAACGGUCCUAAGGUAGCGAAAUUCCUUGUCAGGUAAGUUCUGACCCGCACGAAAGGCGUAACGAUUUGGGCGCUGUCUCGGCAGCAGACUCGGUGAAAUCUUAGUACCUGUGAAAAUGCAGGUUACCCGCAACUAGACGGAAAGACCCCAUGGAGCUUUACUGCAGCCUGAUAUUGGAUUUUGAUCAGAGAUGUACAGGAUAGGUGGGAGACGAAGAAGGAUGCACGCCAGUGUAUCUGGAGUCGACGUUGGGAUACCACUCUUGUCUGAUUGGAGUUCUAACCUGCGUCCAUGAAGCUGGACGGGGGACCGUGUCAGGCAGGCAGUUUGACUGGGGCGGUCGCCUCCCAAAGAGUAACGGAGGCGCCCAAAGGUACGCUCAGAUUGGACGGAAAUCAAUCGGCGAGUGCAAAUGCAGAAGCGUGCUUGACUGUGAGACAAACAGGUCGAACAGGGACGAAAGUCGGGAUUAGUGAUCCGGCGGUGCCGAAUGGAAGGGCCGUCGCUCAACGGAUAAAAGCUACCCUGGGGAUAACAGGCUGAUCUCGCCCAAGAGUUCACAUCGACGGCGAGGUUUGGCACCUCGAUGUCGGCUCAUCGCAUCCUGGAGCUGAAUUCGGUUCCAAGGGUUGGGCUGUCCGCCCAUUAAAGCGGUACGCGAGCUGGGUUCAGAACGUCGUGAGACAGUUCGGUCCCUAUCUGUUGUGGGCGUAGGAGAUUUGAGGAGAGCUGUCCUUAGUACGAGAGGACCGGGAUGGACCUACCGCUGGUGCACCGGUUGUUGUGCCAACAGCAUAGCCGGGUAGCUAAGUAGGGAAGGGAUAAGCGCUGAAAGCAUCUAAGCGCGAAGCCUACUCCAAGAUGAGAUCUCCCAUACGCAAGUAGUAAGACCCCUUGAAGACGACGAGGUAGAUAGGUCAGGGAUGGAAGCGCAGCGAUGCGUGGAGUUGACUGAUACUAAUAGGUCGAGGACUUAAUCAA
rnacentral:rRNA from 1 species